rnacentral:rRNA from 1 species
GUAACACGUGACUAACCUACCUUCGAGUGGGGGAUAACCUCGGGAAACCGAGGCUAAUACCGCAUAACAUCGCAAGAUCAAAGCAGCAAUGCGCUGGAAGAGGGGGUCGCGGCUGAUUAGCUAGUUGGCGGGGUAAUGGCCCACCAAGGCGAAGAUCGGUAUCCGGCCUGAGAGGGCGCACGGACACACUGGAACUGAAACACGGUCCAGACUCCUACGGGAGGCAGCAGUGGGGAAUUUUGCGCAAUGGGGGAAACCCUGACGCAGCAACGCCGCGUGGAGGAUGAAGCCCCUUGGGGCGUAAACUCCUUUCGACCAAGACGAUAUGACGGUACUGGUGGAAGAAGCACCGGCUAACUCUGUGCCAGCAGCCGCGGUAAUACAGAGGGUGCGAGCGUUGUUCGGAAUUAUUGGGCGUAAAGGGCGCGUAGGCGGUGCCACAAGUCACUUGUGAAAUCCCCAGGCUUAACCUGGGGCCUGCAGGCGAAACUGUGGUGCUGGAGUAUGGGAGAG